rnacentral:rRNA from 1 species
AUUGAACGCUGGCGGCAUACCUUACACAUGCAAGUCGAACGGUAACAGGUCUUCGGAUGCUGACGAGUGGCGAACGGGUGAGUAAUACAUCGGAACGUGCCCGAUCGUGGGGGAUAACGAAGCGAAAGCUUUGCUAAUACCGCAUAAGAUCUACGGAUGAAAGCAGGGGACCGCAAGGCCUUGCGCGAACGGAGCGGCCGAUGGCAGAUUAGGUAGUUGGUGGGAUAAAAGCUUACCAAGCCGACGAUCUGUAGCUGGUCUGAGAGGACGACCAGCCACACUGGGACUGAGACACGGCCCAGACUCCUACGGGAGGCAGCAGUGGGGAAUUUUGGACAAUGGGCGAAAGCCUGAUCCAGCCAUGCCGCGUGCAGGAUGAAGGCCUUCGGGUUGUAAACUGCUUUUGUACGGAACGAAAAGACUCUUUCUAAUAAGGAGGGUCCAUGACGGUACCGUAAGAAUAAGCACCGGCUAACUACGUGCCAGCAGCCGCGGUAAGAC